UAAUUUCUUUUUUUAGAGGAUUUAGCUAGAAAAACUGCAAAUCAAUACACAUAUUUCGCUAAUAAAUAUGUUGGAAUCGUAAAUAACCCGAUAAAAAUAUUCUGUUCUACCGUGCCCGAGUGGUGUGGUUCUUCUAGUUCUUUUAGUCCCGAUGGAAAAAUGUAUGAUGUUGAUGUUUGAAUUAUCUAUAAUUUAACAAUAACAUAAUGUUUUGUUUUUUUUUUGUAUGGUAUAUAAGUAUAAUUUAUAAUAGUUAAGUCUUAGUUUUAUUUUGUU